UACUGAAAUGGCACAGAAAAAAGUUUGGAAAGGGAGAAACUUAAUGGGAAGGAAAUAGAUUUGCCAGGUUCCUUACGUAGAUCCCAUAAGAGAGAUCCAGAUGUGUCUACAGAAUAGGCCUAUGAAUGUGCAGCCCAAUCCACAUUACAAUGCUCACCUGGGCUCCAGUGAAUUGAUUUGAUUCAUUCCUGCUUGAGGCCAUUGGUUAUUAUGCAUUACUAACUGCUGCAACUAUGGCAUCCUUUAAAUUAUCCACUGUGGCAAAAGACUCGGCUGCCAUGGCCUCUUCUGCCCAUUUUCCAUCCAGUCCUUUCAUCUCCCCCUCCACUGCCUGAUGCAGCAUGUCGUGCUCAAGAUGUUCCAUGCAGAGCUAGUAAGGGAGGUGAGUGUGUGGUGUGUGGUUGGUUACACUAUAGUGGCAGUUUCCAUGGUGAUCUGGCACAGGAAGAGAAACAUGGGAGAAGGAACAUGGAAGACUCUAAAAGGAUAUCUGGCCACACAACUGGUGAAGCUUUUUAAAGUGGCUAAGUAUAUUCUGAUUAAAGCUCUUUGCACCUUUCUGAAACAUUUGAAUUCUUUGAUGUGAAGCAAGGCUGCUGCUGCUCUGGCUAAAGAAUUUCUCCCUGAAGAGCAGUCACUGAUCCUGGGAAUUAAAUGUUAUGUUCUACUAAAUGCUCCUGCUAUGGGAAUCUAAUGAGUAAGAUGAAGUGAUGUUAAUAUAUCUGAUAGUUAUAUCUAUGAACAUUAAUUUAAAUAAUAAAUGCUGAAGGGUAUGUGUGAUUCUGAUAAGUACUCUUCAGAUGUUUGCUGAACAUGACAGAUUUAUAAUUGAGUAGAGGGGCGGGGUACUGUUAUACCCUUCAAAAAUUAGGAAAUAUUCCAGGGGAGUGGGGAGCACUUUAUAAGAUUACACAGAGCAGUCCCAAAGCCACAUUGACUUUCUUAAUAAUCCCAUAUAUAUUACGUGGUCUUUGGUAAUUUGGUAAUUUCUAAAGUCUUUAAAAGUUUUCACACACCUUUGUUCUGGAUCCUUCUCACCUCCUUGCAAGGGGGUCUCUGCUGCAACAGAAAAAUAAAGAUCUGCCUUGCUUUGA